GCCGGGGUGCCUGAGUCAGGUCUAAAGGGUCGGACUCGAGAUCCGAUGCCCCAUUCGGGGCGCCCGGGUUCAAAUCCCGGCCCCGGCG
rnacentral:tRNA from 1 species